UUUACCUUCUUAAACUUGACAAAUUUUGAAGUUCAAUCCUGUCAUGUAUUCUUUUCAAAAAAGUUUUUUUUGGAAAAGGAUAUUUUUUGAAAAACAAAGUAUGCAUGGUCUUAUUCUGUAGUUUUGUAAAAUUCUGUGAUUAUCCAUCCAGAAAAACAAAAAAGCUCAAUCUGUGUCAAGAAGUGGAAUUUUGGAAGACAAAAGCAAAUAAAUUAGAAAAAGAGUUAGAUACUCAAAAUAAAAAACUGAAUGAAUUGAAAGAAAAGGUAAUUUCAUUAACAUACGAACUGAAGAAGUGUAAAAACAUACUAAAAAAACAUUUGAUGAGGAAAAUAAAAUCCAGUUAAUUAAUUACGUUUAAAUUUAAAUUGAGACAAAUCUGAUGUGUUUUUAUAUCUAAGAGUCGGCUUGUGGUGUAAUGUCAUGCCGUCCUCAUGUGCAUCGUGAAUACCCACAAAGCCACAAAGGCGUUGUUUGGCCCAAAACCACUAAUAAUGGACGUCAGGACCGGAUCUUGACAAUUUUGUUGGGGGAUGGGACUGACUUUAAGGUCCUUUUUACAAAAACUGGCAAUUCCCUUUGAACGCUCGACAACUUAAAAUUUUUUCAUGCUAGAUGAGUCCGCUAAAAUUAUUUUAUGCUGUAUUUUAAAUACCUUUUGAGGCAUGUGAAUUAAGAAUUUACUCAGAAAUUGUAACAAAAUCAGUUUGUUCGCCAUAACCGUAGAGGUAAAUUAAAAAAUGUCUUUCUAGCAGUCAUUUUUCAUAUACUGUGUGAAUUUGAUAGUUGUGAAAAUAUUUUAAGGGUGAUAGUAUCUUAUUUCAGUUUAUAGUGAAUUUUGCAACUUCGCAUUUGAAUUUUUCGGAGUGAAAUAGAACACAAAUUGAAAGUUUCUGGUGGAUUUUCUUAGCUCAAAACGUGUCGCUGGAAUUUAGUUUAACACAGAAUUCUUUUUUUUUACAGAAACUCUCAAAUUGUACUUUAUUUUUCACUCCGAAAAAUUCAAAUGGCUGUGUCUAAACUCCUGGCACCGGUAUCCAGUGCAAUCCCGGCAGCGUCAUGAACAUAAGCGGGUUCGCUAUAAUAGGACUGCAGUGUAAUUAAAUUAUA